rnacentral:rRNA from 1 species
GAUGAACGCUGGCGGCGUGCCUAACACAUGCAAGUCGAACGAUCACUUGGAGCAAUCUGGGUGAUAGUGGCGAAUGGGUGAGUAACACGUAGGUGACCUGCCCCAAAGAGGGGAAUAACUGCUGGAAACGGUGGCCAAUACCCCAUGGUCUCGGCGGUUCGGUCUGUCGAGUAAAGCUCCGGCGCUUUGGGAGGGGCCUGCGGCCCAUCAGGUAGUUGGUAGGGUAAUGGCCUACCAAGCCAUUGACGGGUAGGGGGCGUGAGAGCGUGAUCCCCCACACUGGCACUGAAACACGGGCCAGACUCCUACGGGAGGCAGCAGUGAGGAAUAUUGGGCAAUGGGCGAAAGCCUGACCCAGCAACGCCGCGUGGGCGACGAAGGCCUUCGGGUUGUAAAGCCCUUUUCUGGGGGACGAGUAAGGACGGUACCUCAGGAAUAAGUCACGGCUAACUACGUGCCAGCAGCCGCAGUAAGAC